GCACGUGGGUGCGCGUGGCCAGCGAACGGCGCGACGCCCGAGGCUGCUUAUUACUACGCGCGCGGCGCGGAGAGCGACCGAGGAGAGGAGGGAGUAGGCCCUCUCGCGCUGGUGCCGGUGCCGUGCGUGCCUCGGACCUGUUCGUCCACGGCCAUGCAGAUGCAAGCAGCGGGGUCAAGCUAACAUGAGCGACGGCGGGCGUGCGUGCCCGAGGGCAGGAGGGAGGAGGACGUUUGUAGCUCCGGUGGGGUGGGCGUGCCUCCACUUUCGGCGCCGGACGGCGGUGACCUACACUAGCUAGCUGGAGGCCGGAUGGGCGUUCGCGUCGUACGUGGGGGCCUGCCCGUUCAUCUGAGGCGCACCGCGUGUCAGGCAGCCUGCAAUACAGACCGGCUUACUAAUGCUAUGGAAUAAGCUAGACAAUUCGCAGAAUAAUUGAAUAGGAACCCACUUGUCACUGGCCUACUAAAACAAAAUUCCUCAGAAGGAUUUCAUUAUCUUCGGCACGAGGUCAGAUUUCUCUAUGCAUACGUGUGUCUGUUGCUUGGAUUAUAUCCACAAGUACAGUUCUACAGACACACACACACAAAAAAAAGUACAGUUCUACACAAUCAAGGGCUGUAGCACACAAACCUUUAUGCCCUGUUUGGAAUGGAUAUAACUUUUGUGUGGGCACCAGUUUGAACUAACUACCUGUCAGGAUCUUGGUAGGUUGGUAGGGGAAUUUGGGAAUUGUCCUGACCCAAAAAGGGGAAUGGGGAUCGAAAGAUUGAGGCGGAUAAGCUAGGGUUCUAGUACAGGGAAACGUAAAGGUCACAUAAGAGUUUAUAAAGAACUCGUGUGGUGAAUCACAGGUAGUCUCAGUUACAGUUUACCGGAAGGGACUAAUACAAGACUGAAAUGAAUUGAAACAGGGAAAGGUAAUUUGCCCAGAUGGCUUCUGGCCGUUGGAUCUAAACGUUCCUGACUGUCCGAUUAACAUAACUCUUUGGGAAGUCGAAGAAUACGUGUUCUCCUAGACUUGACGCCUCCUCCCCUGUUUCCAGACUGAACUUACUGUAACCUGGCGCUUUGAUUCAGACCUGCAUAAUUUGGGAUACUGACAAAACCGAUGCCCACACAUACAUCCAUUACAAACAGGUCCUAAUGCUGAAUUUAGAAAAUCUAGUAGUAGCAGUUAACUCCUUCUGAGUUAUGAUGAAACUAUCAUAGGCAGUCACAUGCAUAGUAAAAUAUCCAGUGAGCUCUUUUUGCUCUGCCUAUCAUUUACCAACACGUAGGAACUAAUAUAACAUACACAUUCAGCCCAUUAUCUCAGGAUGCAAGUACUUGAUUGAACUUUUCUAUAGUAGAAUUGAUUAUCAAUAGAUAAUAACAACCAAGAUAAUAACAAUAUAUACUCAGUAGGAGCUACAUCAGUAGAUAAUAACAACCGAGAGGAAUUAAUUAUGUCUAGUUAGAGCAUCAAGAGCAAGACUCUGGAAACCAAGAUAGUGAUGAAGCAGUAAGCUGCUGAAUUAGUGAAAGAGGGCCCUUGGUGAAAAUAGCUGAAAGCAGAGCCAUUUUUCUGAUGGAGCAAGGGUCUAACAGGAACCAGAGACUUGAUGCAUUGACACAAAAGUUAA